UGGGAAGUGAGAAGCGUCUCUCCCUGGCCUA
rnacentral:piRNA from 1 species